CCUACGGGCGGCAGCAGUGGGGAAUAUUGGACAAUGGGGGCAACCCUGAUCCAGCCAUGCCGCGUGUGUGAAGAAGGCCCUCGGGUUGUAAAGCACUUUCAGUGAGGAAGAACGCCUGGUGGUUAAUACCCAUCAGGAAAGACAUCACUCACAGAAGAAGCACCGGCUAACUCCGUGCCAGCAGCCGCGGUAAUACGGAGGGUGCGAGCGUUAAUCGGAAUUACUGGGCGUAAAGCGCGCGUAGGUGGCUUGAUAAGCCGGUUGUGAAAGCCCCGGGCUCAACCUGGGAACGGCAUCCGGAACUGUCAAGCUAGAGUGCAGGAGAGGAAGGUAGAAUUCCCGGUGUAGCGGUGAAAUGCGUAGAGAUGGGGAGGAAUACCAGUGGCGAAGGCGGCCUUCUGGACUGACACUGACACUGAGGUGCGAAAGCGUGGGUAGCAAACAGGAUUAGAUACCCCAGUAGUC
rnacentral:rRNA from 1 species